rnacentral:rRNA from 1 species
GACUGAGUGGCGGACGGGUGAGUAACGCGUGGGUAACCUGCCUCAUACAGGGGGAUAACAGUCAGAAAUGACUGCUAAUACCGCAUAAGACCACAGCACCGCAUGGUGCAGGGGUAAAAACUCCGGUGGUACAGGAUGGACCCGCGUCUGAUUAGCUGGUUGGUGAGGUAACGGCUCACCAAGGCGACGAUCAGUAGCCGGCUUGAGAGAGUGAACGGCCACAUUGGGACUGAGACACGGCCCUUACUCC